rnacentral:rRNA from 1 species
AGUGAACGCUGGCGGCGUGCCUAACACAUGCAAGUCGAACGAUGAUAGAGAGCUUGCUCUCUUGAUUAGUGGCGCACGGGUGAGUAUACCAUAGAUAAUGUACCUCUUAGUUCGGGAUAGCCACUGGAAACGGUGAUUAAUACCGGAUACUCCUUCUUGUCUUAAGGCAAAUCGGGAAAGUUUUUUCGCUAAGAGGUCAGUCUAUGUCCUUUCAGCUAGUUGGUGAGGUAAUGGCUCACCAAGGCAAUGACGGGUAUCUGGUUUGAGAGGAUGAGCAGACACACUGGAACUGAGACACGGUCCAGACUCCUACGGGAGGCAGCAGUGAGGAAUAUUGCACAAUGGAGGAAACUCUGAUGCAGCAACGCCGCGUGGAGGAUGACGCAUUUCGGUGUGUAAACUCCUUUUAAGAGGGAAGAUAAUGACGGUACCUCUUGAAUAAGCACCGGCUAACUCCGUGCCAGCCGCCACUGUAAAAC